CAGGAUGACUUUUCCAUCCUCCUGCCUCAGGAGUAACUGGAGUGCCUCAAUCGAGUGAUACUGUUUUUCUGGGAGGAGUAACACAUGUAAUCCUUUCCAACUGAUACCAGAGCUUGGGUCAGUUCUUCAGGCAGCUGUCUUAUGGUCAAGCUGUGAAAUUGGAUAUGCCUUACAACAUACUCUUCAGCUGGUCAGGAAACAAACAUUUUCUCCAGGGCUGGCCAUUCACGCUGGGUAAUCUGCCUGCCUGCAUCUGGGAGCCCACAGCUGAGCAAGAGGAUGAAACCAUGUGGAAAGGGAGCAGACUAAGGAGGACCAGGUUCGUGGACUCCUUUUUGGCCCGUGGUUCUUCUCCAUCACUCACAUCCCAGUUUUCUUGCAGAAUGUUCUUCUCCAAGGACUUCUUCCACUAAGUUGUGAGACAAUUUGAAGUGGUGAGACAAGGAGACACUGUUCUGUCCCUGGGCAUAACCCUGCACAGGAAGUCCCAUGUGAGGCUGUACAGAGUGGGCGGAACUGACCCAGCUGGAGGAAAUGUAUCCUAGGACUCUGCAAGCUGCCCUGGGUGGAGAUGGAUGAUGAGAAACGAACUGACUGCCACAUUGGAAGCUAAACAUUUGAAAGUCACAACUCCUCAGCCCUGGAGAAGCAGGCCGUAACAUUUUCUGUCUGCAUGCUUGGAAAAUGAGAUCCCUGAGUUAGGAAGCUCCCUCCAACAUUGUGACACAUGCCAGAGCCUGCUCCUCAUUACAACACCCUGGCAAUGAAGUGGGCAGAGCGGUAGCAUUCUCCUCCUGACACCACACCGAAGGACUGGGGGUGACGGAGCCAGACUGAGAACACUGGCAGCGAGGCCUUUACAGGUGGAUGCUCGGCUGGCAACUGAACAACAGUGAGCCCAAUCCCAGA